rnacentral:rRNA from 1 species
CCUACGGGCGGCAGCAGUAGGGAAUAUUGCUCAAUGGGGGCAACCCUGAAGCAGCAACGCCGCGUGGAGGAUGAAGGCUUUCGGAUUGUAAACUUCUUUUGUUAGAGAAGAUAAUGACGGUAUAUAACGAAUAUGCACCGCCUAAAUCCGCGUCAGCAGCCGCGGUAAUAUGGAGGGUGCAAGGGUUACUCGGAAUUACUGGGCGUAAAGAGCGCGUAGGCGGGGUAACAAGUCAGAUGUGAAAUCCUAGGGCUCAACCGUCGAACUGCAUUUGAAACUGUUAUUCUAGAGUUUGGGAGAGGUAGGUGGAAUUCUUGGUGUAGGGGUAAAAUCCGUAGAGAUCAAGAAGAAUACUAAUUGCGAAGGCGGACUACUAGAACAUAACUGACGGUGAUGCGCGAAAGCGUGGGGAGCAAACAGGAUUAGAUACCCUGGUAGUC